CCGCAAGCCCACUAAGAUACCGCGGCGACCUCGUGGCGGCCGGUGGUGCAAUGGGCUGCGCACAGCACAUCCCCUGGUGGUGUACGUGCUCCGUGCCCCAUUUACGGAGCGCCCUAAGGACCGCGGGACAUGG